GCAUUAGUUAGUUGGUGGGUAAAGGCCUACCAAGACAAUGAUGCAUAGCCGAGUUGAGAGACUGAUCGGCCACAUUGGGACUGAGACACGGCCCAAACUCCUACGGGAGGCUGCAGUAGGGAAUCUUCCACAAUGGGCGAAAGCCUGAUGGAGCAACGCCGCGUGUGUGAUGAAGGCUUUCGGGUCGUAAAGCACUGUUGUAUGGGAAGAAAAGUUAAGGUAGGGAAUGACCUUAGCCUGACGGUACCAUACCAGAAAGGGACGGCUAAAUACGUGCCAGCAGCCGCGGUAAUACGUAUGUCCCGAGCGUUAUCCGGAUUUAUUGGGCGUAAAGCGAGCGCAGACGGUUGGUUAAGUCUGAUGUGAAAGCCCGGAGCUCAACUCCGGAAAGGCAUUGGAAACUGGUUAACUUGAGUGCAGUAGAGGUAAGUGGAACUCCAUGUGUAGCGGUGGAAUGCGUAGAUAUAUGGAAGAACACCAGCGGCGAAGGCGGCUUACUGGACUGUAACUGACGUUGAGGCUCGAAAGUGUGGGUAGCAAACAGGAUUAGAUACCCUGGUAGUCCACACCGUAAACGAUGAACACUAGGUGUUAGGAGGUUUCCGCCUCUUAGUGCCGAAGCUAACGCAUUAAGUGUUCCGCCUGGGGAGUACGACCGCAAGGUUGAAACUCAAAGGAAUUGACGGGGACCCGCACAAGCGGUGGAGCAUGUGGUUUAAUUCGAAGCAACGCGAAGAACCUUACCAGGUCUUGACAUCCUUUGAAGCUUUUAGAAAUAGAAGUGUUCUCUUCGGAGACAAAGUGACAGGUGGUGCAUGGUCGUCGUCAGCUCGUGUCGUGAGAUGUUGGGUUAAGUCCCGCAACGAGCGCAACCCUUAUUGUUAGUUGCCAGCAUUCAGAUGGGCACUCUAGCGAGACUGCCGGUGACAAACCGGAGGAAGGCGGGGACGACGUCAGAUCAUCAUGCCCCUUAUGACCUGGGCUACACACGUGCUACAAUGGCGUAUACAACGAGUUGCCAACCUGCGAAGGUGAGCUAAUCUCUUAAAGUACGUCUCAGUUCGGACUGCAGUCUGCAACUCGACUGCACGAAGUCGGAAUCGCUAGUAAUCGCGGAUCAGCACGCCGCGGUGAAUACGUUCCCGGGUCUUGUACACACCGCCCGUCACACCAUGGAAGUUUGUAAUGCCCAAAGCCGGUGGCCUAACCGUAAGGAGGAACC
rnacentral:rRNA from 1 species